rnacentral:misc_RNA from 1 species
GAAAUGCGAUAAGUAAUGCGAAUUGCAGAAUUCAGUGAAUCAUCGAAUCUUUGAACGCACAUUGCGCCCGCUAGUAUUCUGGCGGGCAUGCCUGUCUGAGCGUCAUUUCAACCCUCAUUCCCGGCUUCGUGCCGGGGAUGGUGUUGGGGAUCGGCCUCCCGGUUGCGGGCGGCCGGCCCCGAAAUAGAGUGGCGACCACGCCGUAGCCUCCUCUGCGUAGUAGUGAAAACCUCGCAGGCGGAGAGCGGUGCGGCCUGCCGUAAAACCCCCAACUCUUCUAAGGUUGACCUCAGAUCAGGUAGGAAUACCCGCUGAACUUAAGC